GUGUGGAUGGUGUGCCUGGCUGAGGGAGGUACAGGACCCUGGACAAAGCAGUGCUGGCAGUGGCUGGGGGAAAUAUGAAGGAGUUCAGGACUGUCUGGUGAGACUCAGGACUGUCUGGUGAGACCAGGAUAAGAUCCUGAGACAGACUGUGUAUGACGUGGCUGGAGGGAUGAGUCUGUGAAGACCCACCACAGAGUGUGUAGGCAUCUGCACUGAGAAAGGGGGUGCUCAUGAGAGCUUUUCACUUUUGACUGGAGAUUUCCAGAGGAAGACCCAGAGGCUGCAGGAAGUGGAAUUGAUAAUUUGAGAUCCUGGCUGGAAGGCAACUCAGCGUAUUAUGGAGGAAGCUCUAGAAGUGCUGGUAAAUAGAGCCUUUGAUAGUUCUAAAGGAGGCAAGAAGGAAAUAAACUGUUCUGAAUGAUGAUGGUGAUGAUAGCUAGUGGAUUUUCAACUCCGCUCCACACCCAGGACCUUUUCUUCUUUGGAGCUCUUGUGCUGAACCCUUUUGAAAGCCUGGCCAGUAGAGAUGAUUUUGACUCCUCUUUGAGAAGGAGCAUAAAAGGUGAAGCAACUAGUUCCAUAAAUCGUUUAUUGUUUUAGUUCAAAGAUGUUUAGGGAUACCCCACACUGGGAAUGCUACUGAACACAAAAUAACUCGGUAUCUGACAUAGUGUAAGUAUCCUGCAUAUACUGUUGAGGAUUUGUAUUUGGGAAAGUUAAAUUGAAAGGGUGCGGGGGACUGCUCUUGAGACUUAUUUAGUUCUAGGAAAUUUUGUUUGUUUAAAAUUUAACUUGAGUAAACAAAAUGGGACAAAAGGAAUAACUCUGGAUUUACAGUGGUGUAAAUGAGCCUGAUUCUUGCCUCACUUACUCUGGUGUAAAUCCAUUGAGUUAUUCCUGUUUUACUCCAGUAGAAACGAGGAAAAUCAGACCCACUGUUUUUCAGCUGGAUCCUGCAAUAUUGUUACAAAUAGACAGACUUGUACGGAAAAAAACAUUUUAAUGAUUAAUCA